GGCCUUUUCAUCGUUCUUGGACCCCAAUCUACCCAAGGCUCAUGGAGUACGAGUGACUCUUGAGGCUCGGAACUUGUGGUCGUAUCAUCCUAUCCUUCUU